rnacentral:rRNA from 1 species
UACGUAGGGUGCAAGCGUUAAUCGGAAUUACUGGGCGUAAAGCGUGCGCCGGCGGUUCGGAAAGAGAGGUGUGAAAUCCCAGGGCUUAACCUUGGAACUGCACUUCUAACUACCGGGCUAGAGUACGUCAGAGGGGGGUAGAAUUCCACGUGUAGCAGUGAAAUGCGUAGAGAUGUGGAGGAAUACCGAUGGCGAAGGCAGCCCCCUGGGAUGAUACUGACGCUCAUGCACGAAAGCGUGGGGAGCAAACAGG